AACCUGGUUGAUCCUGCCAGUAGUCAUAUGCUUGUCUCAAAGACUAAGCCAUGCAUGUCUAAGUAUAAGUAUUAUACAGCGAAACUGCGAAUGGCUCAUUAAAACAGUUAUAAUUUAUUUGAUAAUCGAAUUUACAUGGAUAACCGUGGUAAUUCUAGAGCUAAUACAUGCUGGUAGGCCCGACUUUUUGGAAGGGCGGUAUUUAUUAGAUAACAAACCAAUAUUCCUCUGGUCUAUUGUGGUGAAUCAUAAUAACUGAUCGAAUCGCAAGGUUUUUAACCGCGAUAAGUCAUUCAAGUUUCUGCCCCAUCAGCUUUCGAUGGUAGUGUAUUGGACUACCAUGGCUUUUACGGGUAACGGAGGAUUAGGGUUCGAUUCCGGAGAGGGAGCCUGAGAAACGGCUACCACAUCUAAGGAAGGCAGCAGGCGCGUAAAUUACCCAAUCCUGACUCAGGGAGGUAGUGACAAGAAAUAACGGACCGAAGCCUUCGGGCUUCGGGAUUGCAAUGAGCCGAAUUU
rnacentral:rRNA from 1 species